rnacentral:rRNA from 1 species
UACGUAGGCAGCAAGCGUUGUUCGGAAUUAUUGGGCGUAAAGAGCUCGUAGGCGGUUUGUUGCGUCGGCUGUGAAAUCCCGAGGCUCAACCUCGGGUCUGCAGUCGAUACGAGCAAACUAGAGUGUUGCAGGGGAGACUGGAAUUCCUGGUGUAGCGGUGAAAUGCGCAGAUAUCGGGAGGAACACCAGUGGCGAAGGCGACUACCUGGCCUGUUCUUGACGCUGAGGCGCGAAAGCUAGGGGAGCAAACGGG